GUGCAUUCACCCUACAAAAAUUAUCUCAUCAUCCAUUUAACGGUUUUCUAUUGCAUUUCAAAUUAAAACCUUAAUUUAAUCAUUUUUCGAACAAAACAAUAUCAACAAGAACACAACUGGUUUUUUAAGUUUAUCAGAGAAAAGUUAUUAUUAUUGCAACAAAUUUUUGGCAGCUCAGUUUUAAUUUUUCUGAUGCAAUAUUUUGUUUGCAACUAAUAAGAAAUGCAUAAUAUUAGUAAUUGUUAAAAAAAAAAAAAAAACAAAGUAUAAAUUAUCAAGCUUGUCAUCUAGGUAUAAUUCCAUUGGUAAGGUUAAUAAAACUUAUCUUCAUCCCAGUUUUUGUCAGGUACUUGAUUAUUAAAGGCAAAUGUAGAUCGUUAAAAUUAUAUCCCAAUCCAGUUUUUUGAAAAGAUUUCUGCAUUCUGCAUUCUAAAAAAACAACAAUUUUUGUAUGCUUACAUUUUUUUGUAUAAAAGGAGAAAGAUUAUUUGAUAAUGUCAUCAGUCGAUUUUUGUUAAACAAUCAACAAUCACCUAAAACAUCAACAUGAAGUUCUUCAUCUUUUUUGCCUUGUUCAUUGUUGCCGUUAGUGCUGGAAGUCUUCCCAUUAUUGCCAGUUCAAGUUAUGGUGCAGCUAGACCAGCCCUUAUUACUACAUCAGUAGUUAGGCCUGUAGCUGUGGUUAAAACUGUCAAUGUUGCCCCAGUUGGAGUUAAACUUCUUUAAAAUUUAAAAUUUAAGUCCUUUUAAAAUUGGAAAUGAAAAAAAUUGACCAGCAAAAAUUGUACUUAUAACAAUAUUAGAAAAAAAAUAAAUGUAUUUUAAGUUAUCAGCAUUCUAAAAA